AUGACUUCUCUGCUUUUCUGCUCCUUCCAGGAUCUAAAAGAGAAGAAGGAAGUUGUUGAAGAAACAGAAAAUGGCAGAGAUGCACCAGCCAACGGCAAUGCUAACGAGGAAAACGGAGAGCAGGAGGCUGACAACGAAGUAGACGAAGAGGAGGAGGAAGGUGGUGAAGAAGAGGACGAGGAGGAAGAGGGUGAUGGUGAGGAAGAGGAUGGUGAUGAUGACGACGAAGCUGAGGGAGCCACAGGCAAACGGGCAGCUGAGGAUGAUGAGGAUGACGACGUCGAUCCCAAGAAGCAGAAAACCGAUGAAGAUGACUAGGCAGCAUUUUUUUUUUUUUUUUUUUUUUUUAAAUAAGGAGGAAAACAAACCAACAAAAAAGGCCAGCGCGUCCUCUUCACCCUUGGGUCUCCCCUUGGGACUCCCAUUGCAGCCCCCUUUCCCUCACACAGCCCUUCCUCCCCCCUCCGCCGUGGUCAUCCUCACCAAGUAGAGUGAACCCCAUCCCCGCCCCCCGGCGCGGCGCUGCCACUCAACGAACAUGGAAAUGAUUCGCCCGUUAGCGGGGAGAGAAAAACCCCCCUUCCCCCACAAACCCUCUCCCCCCCCAAGCACCAAAACUUCAAGGCCCUGCUUUCUUUCUUAAAAGUACUUUAAAGGAGAAUUUGUUUGUAUUUUUUAUUUACAUUUUAUAUUUUUGUACAUAUUGUUAGGAGGUCCGCCAUUUUUAAGUGAUCUCGGAUUGACCAAAAGGGGGGCUUUGAAGUGUAUAUCUCUCUUGUUACCUAUCUCUGACUUUACUUGUGGUGUGACCAGGCCCAAACCAUUAUCUCAAAGGAGAAUAAAACAAAACCUUGUAAAAAAAAAAAUUAAAAA
rnacentral:lncRNA from 1 species